GUCUGGUUGAAUUCACCUAAUAAUCAGUCUGACCUGCCCACUGAUAUUUUAAAGGCCGCGGUAUAAUGACCGUGCGAAGGUAGCAUAAUAAUUAGUCUUUUAAUUGAAGACUGGAAUGAAAGGUCGGACAAAAAGUAACCUUUCCCAAAAUCUCAAAUCAAAUUUAACUUUUAAGUGAAAAGGCUUAAAUAUUCUUAAAAGACGACAAGACCCUAUAAAACUUUAUAAAAAGAUUCUAGCUUUAAAUUUAUUAGUUUAUUUAAUCUAUUUAUCUUAUUUAUUUCGUUGGGGCGACGAAAGCAUAUUUUAACCUGCUUUUUAUUUUAUUUACAAAUAUUUUUGGACCUUAUUGACCCUUUUUUAAGAUCAAAAGAAAAAGUUACUUUAGGGAUAACAGCGUAAUUUUUUUUAAGAGUUCUUAUCGACAAAAAAGUUUGCGACCUCGAUGUUGAAUUAAAGUAUCUUUACAGUGCAGCCGCUGUAAUAGUGGGUCUGUUCGACCUUUAAAACUUUACAUGAUUUGAGUUCAAACCGGCGUGAG
rnacentral:rRNA from 1 species